AGCGAACGCUGGCGGCAGGCCUAACACAUGCAAGUCGAACGAACCCUUCGGGGUUAGUGGCGGACGGGUGAGUAACACGUGGGAACGUGCCGUUAGGUUCGGAAUAACUUAGGGAAACUUGUGCUAAUACCGAAUGUGCCCUUCGGGGGAAGGAUUUAUCGCCUUUAGAGCGGCCCGCGACUGAUUAGCUCGGUGGUGAGGUAAUGGCUCACCAAGGCUACGAUCAGUAGCUGGUCUGAGAGGAUGACCAGCCACAUUGGGACUGAGACACGGCCCAAACUCCUACGGGAGGCAGCUGUGGGGAAUCUUGCGCAAUGGGCGAAAGCCUGACGCAGCCAUGCCGCGUGGAUGAUGAAGGUCUUAGGAUUGUAAAAUCCUUUCACCGGUGAAGAUAAUGACUGUAGCCGGAGAAGAAGCCCCGGCUAACUUCGUGCCAGCCGCCGCAGUAAGAC
rnacentral:rRNA from 1 species